rnacentral:rRNA from 1 species
GUGAGGAAUAUUGGUCAAUGGGCGCAAGCCUGAACCAGCCAUCCCGCGUGCAGGAAGACGGCGCUAUGCGUUGUAAACUGCUUUUCCAGGGAGAGAAACUUGCGCACGUGUUGCGCAAUUGACGGUACCCUGGGAAUAAGCAUCGGCUAACUCCGUGCCAGCAGCCGCGGUAAUACGGAGGAUGCGAGCGUUAUCCGGAUUCAUUGGGUUUAAAGGGUGCGUAGGCGGACUAUUAAGUCAGUGGUGAAAUCCUGCAGCUUAACUGCAGAACUGCCAUUGAUACUGAUAGCCUUGAGUUUGGUUAAGGUAGGCGGAAUGUGUAAUGUAGCGGUGAAAUGCUUAGAUAUUACACAGAACACCAAUUGCGUAGGCAGCUUACUGAGCCGACACUGACGCUGAGGCACGAAAGCGUGGGGAUCGAACAGGAUUAGAAACCCGGGUAGUCC